AGUAGCGGGUCCCGUUUAAAUAUACUCAUUUGACUGUUCGAUUUCCUAGUACACCAAGCUCACGUGGCUCCCAUUUCUCACCUGGCCGUCGAUCACCUCGCGUGUCCCCUCACUGCUUGCUGCUCUCGGGUCUCUGGUCUCUGCUCACCUCGCCGUCCCUCACCUUCCUCCCUCGCCAUCUCUCCAGCAAGCACUCCUCGGCUCCCCGCUCACUGCUUGCUGCUCCAGUGCUUCUUCAGUUUUUUUUUUUUUCAGAGUUAAUUUUUAUGAAUGUUGUUGAUUGUUGAUAAUCUCAGAUAAUGUUUACGAGUUAAUUUUGUGAUUGUUGUUGAUUGUUGAUAAUCUGAGUUAAUUUUAUGACCCUAACCCAGUUUCGGUGACUCAAACCUAGUCAAUGGCCUCUGAAAUGGAUUAACUGAAAAACACAGCUUUAAGGAAGAAAAGAAGAGAUUAAUAUCUUCUAUAAUUUGCUGCAUAAACUAAAUACAUAGAAAAAGUGUAAGAACAAUGCAGUACGUUUUUCGUUCCUGCACUACAUUUAUAGCAAACAUUUAUGCUUUGGGUGUUUCCUCUGUGUACUUUUAAGGGUUUCUAUCGGUUUUGAUCUUUGGGUUUCUAUUCUUUGAACUUUGAAUGCAGGGCAUUUUUCUCCCAUUUUUAUUGUCUAAUUACUCAUACUUAACAUUACAGUAGAGGAAGAAUGGGAAACGAACAGGAGGACAAAGAAAUGGAAAUGGGUUCAAUUGUAGUUGAAAAGGUCGGCGGCAGAUCAUCAGUGGUACACUGCUUCUCAAGAUAUCCCGUCAAGUUCAUUAUACCCAAAAAGGUGGGUUCUUCCAGAACUGAUGCUGUAUGGGUUUAUGCCCUCAAUUAUGGAGGUGGAAUUGUAUCGGGUGAUCAAAUUUUAUGCAAAUUUUCAGUGGGAGAUUGUUGUACAAUGGUGUUAACCACGCAAGGUUCCACUAAGGUCUACAAAUCAGUGGGAUCUAAGUGCUCUAAACAAAUAUUGGAGGCAAGAGUUGGAAGCAAUGCACUUUUAGCCAUCAUUCCAGAUCCUGUAACAUGUUUCUCCACUGCAAGAUACUACCAGAAGCAAGUAUUUAAUGUGUCUUCAAACUCAAAUCUGGUCAUUGUUGAUUGGAUAACCAGUGGGCGACAUGAAAGUGGAGAAAAAUGGGAUUUUGAUCUUUAUAGAAGCAUCAAUAAUAUAUUCUUGGAGGGUGGUGAACCAUUGUUUCUCGAUACGAUGUCAUUAGAGAAAGAAAAAAUUGGCUGCAUACAUGAACUUGUGCAGGACUACCAAGUGAUUGCAAUGAUUCUACUACUGGGGCCAAAGUUGCAGUUUGUGCAGAAUCUGGUGCAAGAUAAGGUAAAAGGAAUUAUGUCUGAGCAAUUGCAGCAUCCUUCAGGUGCCUUGAGUCACAAAAGAAAUGAGGCUGGUUAUUUCAUUUCCAAGCCAAGCUUGAUGACUUCUUGCAGUGUCUUUGGGACUAAGGGUAUGUGUAGAACCAAUUUGGGCAUAUUUGGCUUGAAAGCUUUUACAAAUGGAUAGAAACUAGGGGGAAGAAAAACAAUAAAAGCUAACUUCAUGAUCUCGGCCCAAUCCAAUCUUUACAAAAAACUAUUCUUGUUGUUCGAGUUGCUGCAAUGACAACUGAAUCGGUUUAUAAGUUUCUCCAAGAGCAGUUAGCUCCCUUGGAGUCAUUGCUUGGGGUGCCACCUUACCACUAAGGUGAUUUGUUUUCUGAAGUUAACGGUUUCAAUUUCCAAACUAAACGUGAGUUAUAUCUUGUUAUGAAUUUUCCUUUAGGCUCCGUUUGGUUUGUACAUCCAUUAAAACGGGCAUUAAGACAAAGAUAUUAGACAAGACAUAACAUACAUGUGCUUGUGUAUAGUGUUUGAAAAUAGUGGACAAUGACAUAACAUUA